rnacentral:rRNA from 1 species
CCUACGGGAGGCAGCAGUGGGGGAUAUUGGACAAUGGGGGAAACCCUGAUCCAGCGACGCCGCGUGAGUGAAGAAGUAUUUCGGUAUGUAAAGCUCUAUCAGCAGGGAAGAAAGAAAUGACGGUACCGGAGUAAGAAGCCACGGCUAACUACGGGCCAGCAGCCGCGGUAAUACGUAGGGGGCAAGCGUUAUCCGGAAUUACGGGGGGUAAAGGGAGCGUAGACGGUACUGCAAGGCUGGAGUGAAAGGCGGGGGCCCACCCCCCGGACUGCUCUGGAAACUGUGUAACUGGAGUGCAGGGGAGGCAGGCGGAAUUCCUAGUGUAGCGGUGAAAUGCGUAGAUAUUAGGAGGAACACCAGUGGCGACGGCGGCCUGCUGGACUGUAACUGACGUUGAGGCUCGAAAGCGUGGGGAGCAAACAGGAUUAGAUACCCCAGUAGUC